CAGUCGCCGCGGGAAUACGUAGGUGGCAAGCGUUGUCCGGAAUUAUCGGGCGUAAAGCGCGCGCAGGUGGUUUAAUAAGUCUGAUGUGAAAGCCCACGGCUCAACCGUGGAGGGUCAUUGGAAACUGUUAAACUUGAGUGCAGGAGAGAAAAGUGGAAUUCCUAGUGUAGCGGUGAAAUGCGUAGAGAUUAGGAGGAACACCAGUGGCGAAGGCGGCUUUUUGGCCUGUAACUGACACUGAGGCGCGAAAGCGUGGGGAGCAAACAGGAUUAGAUACCCGCGUAGUCCCUGUCUCUUAUAC
rnacentral:rRNA from 1 species